UACAGAGGGGGCAAGCGUUGUUCGGAAUUACUGGGCGUAAAGGGCGCGUAGGCGGCCUGCUAAGUCGAACGUGAAAUCCCUGGGCUCAACCCAGGAACUGCGUCUGAUACUGGUUGGCUUGAAUCCGGGAGAGGGAUGUGGAAUUCCAGGUGUAGCGGUGAAAUGCGUAGAUAUCUGGAGGAACACCGGUGGCGAAGGCGACAUCCUGGACCGGUAUUGACGCUGAGGCGCGAAAGCCAGGGGAGCAAACGGG
rnacentral:rRNA from 1 species